UUAGAGGGGGAAGGUUGGCUGCUGAAAGGGCCUCCGGGCGGGGAGCGGGGCGUCGGAGGGGCAUGUGGAGCCGCUCGGCUGCUCGUCCUGACAGCCGGGAGAGAGGCUUGUGCGGGAGCCCCUGUGCCCCCCCCCGUUGCGGAAGGGGCCUACGUGACACAUCAUAUACUAAGAUACGUUGACAUGAAUGACAGCUGAAUGAUUGGAAUGCUGAUGGUGCCUGGCAGCUGAACUAAAGACUGGCAGGGAUGUUAAGAAGAUUGGUCUUUGAAAUUCCAGUUUGAUCUCAAAAGCGCAUGGCCUCUGAAUUGUUUGGAAACUUUUCUGCAGAGUGCUUUUCAGGUCGAAUUCAACAAUUUAUUCAUGUGCCACAGAUGAUGUACCACCAUCUAGUCUCGGUGUUUCUUGAGAUCAGAGGCGCCACCUUUGCCAGAGGAUUGAGGGUGCCUGUGCACAAUGUCCUGAUGUACUGACGUCAUGGGGGGGGGGGCUCCGAACAUUGAGGGGGCCCAGCUCCUUUAAAAAAAAUAAAUCAGGGGAUCCCACAGUGCUUCAGCCCCUAGGAGCUGGCGCCACUGCAUGGAAUACAAUGGUAAAUUCCAGAGCUAAAGAAAGAUGGAAGCCAUUUCAUUGUACUACUUGCUUCAUUUAUGGAAAAAGAAAUGUUAUUACUCAAGUUAGUCUAGAUUUACACUACCUGGAAAUCCUUCCUUCUGAGAUUAGAGAGUUUCUGUACUUAAACCAGAGAGAAAAAUGAACUACGCACUUGGCCAGGAUACUUCCAUGUAUUCUUGCUUCAAAUCUUCCUCUACCUAAACUGAAGUACACAGAGGUAAAGUACCUGGAUUGCUCAGUUGGUUAGAGUGUGGUGCUGAUAAAACCACGGUUGCAGGUUUGAUCCCUGUAUGGGGCAGCUGCAUAUAUCUGCAUUGCAAGCUGCAUAUUCCUGCAUUGCAGGGGGUUGGACUAGAUUAUCCUCAGGGUCCCUUCCAACUCUAUGACUAGUAAUCGUAAUCUCCAAAGGCUCAACUCUGCCACCAUCUUCCUCCCUUUCUGCUGAUUCUUGUGUCUAUUUUUAGAUGAUGCCCCCUUGAGGUAGCAAACUGUAAAAAAAAAAUAUCAUUCUUUGACUAUAUGGUGCUAUGUUAAACCUAUGCAGGUUGUAUCCAAUGAUGGCUUUGCCUGGAAAGUGCUUCUGCUCAUCUAAGUUGGCUGUGAAAGACAUCUGACACUGAAAGCAGAUUUCUUGGCUAAAGACCCAACCAGCCCCUUAGUCAAAGAUCCUUACAAACCAGCUCAGAUGACAGAGUGAUAAGAGGAAAGCACUCAGUGAAAAGGUACAGAGUAAGGUGGCCAGGUAAAAGAGAGGAUAGGGCUCCUGCACUUUUAAUAGAUGUUCAGAAGACCAGAUUUCAGCAGGUGUGGCUUGCAGGACAAGCCGGAUCUGUUGUGAUUCAUCUACACAACCAUUCAUGCUUCAGGUCCCCCCGUUUCCUGCCCUUUUGUGACACCCCAAAUCAGCUGCUUAAAACAGCUGACCCGUAACGUACGGUGUUAGGUGUUGCUGCUUUUAACCCUGUAAGCUGCUUUAUUUUGCAUUAAAAGUGGUAUAUCUGUGUACUGUUUGGUGAUUUUUGAAAUAUUAAGUAAUAUAUAUGUCUGAGUAUGUAUGUGUGUAUGAACUUUUAAAUAAAAUAAAUAGCAUGGCACAACAGUGAGGCUUUUAAAAAUAUAUAUAUGGGUUUUACAGUUUGGACAGAAAUAAACACCAGUAAUCUUUCAACCCUAGUUCAGCAUCAUUUGUGUAAAAUGGCCUUAAUCUUUUUCUCAAGGGGUCCCUCUCCUGGCUGCUGCUUUGCCUGCAGUACCCAGUAGCUUAAUUAGAAACAAGGGCUGAACAUACUGAAGCAUAAAAAUAAAUAUCUGUAUUAGAUAUUAGAUAUUCUCCAGUUUAGCUGCUGGAGAAACAUGAGAAAGGAACACGCAGAGUUUUACAGUAAAAUGAUAACAGAUGCUAGAAAAGUUCAGCAUAUGGGAGGCUACGUAAUACUGAAAAGUAUGAAACGUUAUGGCUAAAAUAAUAAACCAAAUAUUUGCAGAGAACAUGGGUAACACUAUUCUUCAAAAGGCUGUGUUAUCUUUCAGGGGUACAAGCUUAACAACUAAUAGUUUAUUUAUCAGUGGAGUUUAAAGAUAAAGAGUACUGAGGCUAUUUUGACUACAGUGUGUUAUUGUUAUAAAUAUUUUUUUAAUUAAAAAAUGCCCUUUAAAAAUGAACAGAGAUUUUUUUUUAAUGAGAGUUCUCUGUCAUCUUCUCCAGUAUCACCAAAGGGGACAUAUAACAAUCAGAUUUAUUUAAAUAUAAUAAACUGAGUUUUUUUAAUUCAUCAGACCAAAAAAAAAUAUCCAAAAGUUUAUAUUUAGCAAUACUUUUACUUAAUUAUAUCAUAAGUUAGAUCAGCGUAGUCAAAUACGUCUUACUGAGCAGUGCUGGUCUCCUGAUUAUGGAACUUCCUCCCUAAGUGGGUGCAUUUAUUCCCUAUGUCAAUGAUUUUUAAGCAGGCUUUGAAAACGCUUUCCUCAAAACUGACAUUUUAACACUUGCAUUUAACUGCUGCUUUUAAUGAUUUAUUCUUUGCUGCUUGGUUUUCGUAUUUACACUAAUGUUGUAUUUUUACUGUCAACGAUCAUGUUUUAACUGCAGCUGUCAUUAUAACAUUUUUAUA